rnacentral:lncRNA from 1 species
CCAUUGAUGUAGCAGUGAACAAACCAGACAAAAUUCCUGUCCUCAUGAAGCUUAGAUCUAAUUAUUUCAUAGCAUUGUCAGGAUUUCUAUUUCUGCUGAUUUCUCUCCUCUCCAAAUGCAGUAUUUGCUAUCCACUGUAAAUUCAUAAGAUUUCUUUUAAAAGUGAUGAGAAAAUCAGGUCUUUUUACCUCAUUAGAUCUAUAACUCUAAUCUGAUGUACAAAAAAAUUCUAAACCAAUGGUAUCUAAAUAGGAAAUAAUUAUGUAUGUUUCUUUGAAGCUAAAUGUUUUGCUAGCUUCUGGCCGUCCCACUGUGUUUAAAUAAAAAAAGUAAUUAGAAUUCUAUAAGUAGGCUGGUAUUAAACCUCAGACUACCAAUGGAUAGGAAAAUACGAAGUAAUUGAAUUUCCUGGUCAAGUAAAAUACUUUUCUGAAAUUUACACUUGCAAGCCUUCUCACAUUCUGUUUACUGCUCUGUGGGGUUCUUCCUACAACUUUACCCAGGCAUUUUCUACAAGUCCUUUAAGAUCCAGCACAUAUAUUAAUUCCUCCAGCAUGCCUUCUCUAUUUUCACCAGGCAAAUGCACUGCUCCCUCUUCUGGUCUCGUGUGGACAUUGGUAUAUACACUUAUUGUAAUACAUAUCACAAUGUUUGAAUUAUUUACUUGGGUAUAUGGUUACACUGGGGUAUGUAGUUACACUAUGGGCUCCAAAAGAAUGGGAUGGUGUGAUAUCCCUGCUUCAACUCUCUGGACAUUUACAAGUUAAGACAGGGAAUGAGUUUCAAAAAUCUUUGUUAGAGUAUCAUUGGGUAGUGGUGGGGAAUAUGAGCUCCUUAGACCAGGUUCUUGUCCUGACUCUACCAUCGUGUGCAAGGUAGCUGUGGGCCUUAAUACUACCCUACCUCAGUCUUAGAGCCUAAAGCUUAGAGAAUAAUAGCUCCUAUCUCUUAGAGUUAUUUUAUAAUAAAAGAAAUAAUUGAUCUAGAAUACCUGUUUUGGAGAGCUUCACUAAUGUUAACAGUAUUAUUUCUAAUUUUAACUAAUUUUACCUAAUAUUUGGUAUAUAAGUGGUAAGACAAUAUUUACUACCACCACUAUAGACAGAGAAAUAAAUUCCAUUGGGAAAAAAUUAAAAGGCCCAAUUCCUGCCUGAGAUGGGGUCAUAAACCUAGAGUUAACUAUAUGAAAUUGUUGUAAAUGCUGUGUAUAUAUCUCAGUAGUUAUGCAGACAUUUUAAUUUAUGUAAGAUUGUAUAGACUCACAAAAGCUUACAAACUAUCUAUUUAUAUUACGUGCAAAUAUUUUUUUGGAAUGUGCUUAAAUUAGAGGGAUGUGUUUUGACAGGGAGAAUGGGGGAAAAGUACUCUCUGUCUUCCAAAUUUUCCCACUUAGUAGGUGAAAUUUAUAUUUGUUCUAAGGUGAAGAUGUUAAAAUAAAUAGAAAAAUUCCUCACUUUAAGAAUCAUAUAUAUUUGUUAUAAUAAAAGGACUAGCUGAGGACAUUUAGCCCCUAGAUAAAAUAAAAGCACAGGAGACUAAUGUAAACAUGAAUCUAUUUGAAUUAUCAGAAUAUUGACCUCUGAACUUUAUUUUGCUUAUGAAGGACCAAAGGAAGAGACAAACCCUUUAAUAUUGGGCAAAUCAUGUUAGUUAAUAAAACAGAUUUUCAUAACGAAAGACCAUCAGCUAUGGAGUUAAUGUUUAAAUAUUUGGUAAUGAAACUUUAAUAUUUUUGUGCCAAACCUUCAUCACAAAUUUUGUGAAACUGUGCUGUGGUGCUGAGAGCUCUUCUUUUAAAAACAAUAAAAUAUGAAAGCCUUUAAUUUAUUGUUGAAUUCAGUGUGCCAGCUAAAUUUAUCAUAAACUCUCAAAAAAAUGAAAUAAUGGUUUGCAGUUGCACUUUCCCAGAUGAUGAAGCAGGUUUAUGGCAAGAACCAGAAGUUGGUCUCCCAUCAGUCCUGAUCAGGCUAAAUCAGCCAGGGAUGAGCAAAGGCUGCCUGGAGCUCAGCUCCUAAAACAAUGUGACAAUGUAAUAAUACCUUCCAUCACAAUGUUUCCUAUCAAGAAAAAAAAAAUCUGAUUCCCAAAUAAUAAUUGAUCCCAGCAUUCUGAGGCACAAGCCAGCCAAACCUUGUCUGAUCUUUUUAAUGCAAAAUCCCUACAUAUCAAGAAUUCAAGUCCAGUUGUCUAGGGCUUUAAAAUAAUGUGUAAAACAUACUGCAGCCUCUGGGUUAUGGUCUCAUCCUGUAACUGGCUGGCUAAAGACUUGGAAAUCCUUGGUCAUGUUUAUCUAUUUCUGGUAUCCCAUUAGGAGUUCAGUAAUCUGGACCUCUCUGCAAUUUGCCAACCAAUCAGUGCUCAAGGAAAGUCAUGAAUCUGAUGAAAUGUGUGUGGAGAAAAUCCCAGUCCCACAAUUCCCUCCCUAAAAAGCCGGGGAGAGUACAUACUUUUCAACACUUCCCAUUUUCCCAGAAAGUUUGGGCAAAAGCAACAAUGAUGAAGAAUAAGACAAGCAUUAUCCUCAAUGGAGCCUCUACACCAGGGAAAGUUAUGGAACUCCUACAGACAGGCAGUGACGGCAGUGUUACUGCUUGCUCACUUACAGGAAGGCUUGAAGGAUAAUGAAGACAAAAAAUAUAAUUAUCAGCAUGAGCAGCAAAGACAGAAUGAAAAAGCAACUAUGUUGUUUUUCCCAGAUUUAAAAUUU